rnacentral:lncRNA from 1 species
UUUUGAUUUCUUAUUAAGGUCUUCUUCCUAAAAAUAGUACAAAAAAAUUCCAGUCACCUGAGAAACUAAAUUAUUUUGUGCUCAUGAAUUGAGGGUGUUUAUUUUUUGGCUGAAAUUGUUCCAGCAUUUUCUUUUUGAGGUAAAAUAGACACCUAAAAUUCACCAUGUUUACUAUUUUUAAGGGUACCGUUCAGUGGUAAUACAUUUACAUUCUUUUUGUCCCCUGCAUCCUCCCCUCCCUCUACCCUUCCCUGCCGCUGGUAAUCACCAUGCUCUUUUCUACCUUCAUGAGAUCUGCUUUUGGAGCUCCCACAGUUCUACUGUUUUCUAAAGGAUUCUGCCAUUGGAAACUGCUUGGUUCGAGGAGAGCAUUCCCACCACAGUCAGGCCUCUCAGGAGAGUAGCGUCCAUCACAGCUCCAAUUAUAUAGAGACAUGCACACCUGGUUCUGUUCCGGGUGAGGUUUUUCCUCCUGACCGCACCCCUCCUGACCGCAGCCCUCCUGAACACAUCCCUCCUGACCACACCCCUCCCGACCACACCCGUCCUCACUGCAUCCCUACUAACUGCAUCCCUCCUGACCACACCCGUCCUCACUGCAUCCCUACUAACUGCAUCGCUCCCGACUGCAUCCCUACUAACCGCAUCCCCUCCUGACCGCAUCCCUUGUGACCGCAGCCCUACUAACCACAUCCCCUCCUGACCACAUCCCUCGUGACCGCAUCCCUACUAACCACACCCCUACUAACCGCAUCCCUCCUGACCGCAUCCCCUACUAAGCACAUCCCCUCCUGACCGCAUCCGAAUUAACUGCAUCCCCUCCUGAUCACGUCCCUCCUGACCGCACC